UCCUCGCCAGAUUCAGAGGUAGACUGACUCUGAAUUGGGAGGUUCCAUUUAGCUAUCAUAUCGAAUAGCGAGUAUUGAACUCUGCAUUUGUUUAACCCCCUUUAAAGCCACCCAAGCAAGUCAAUUUCUAUCUGCCUGGUGGCUGUCAGAGACAGAAGGCCUCCCCACAAACAACUUUGUAAUCAUAGAGGAUUGCUAGUUUAGGAGGUUUGAGGAGUACUAGCUGAUCUGGCGCAGAGCAUCUGCACCCCUAGUUCUCCCUGACUGUCUCCCCCCACCCCCAUAUCUUCAUUUUGUCUUCAAACCCCGUCCUUUCUCCCCAUCCCAGCCUGCUUUCCCUCACCACCCGCUGCCUGGCCUGGCCUGGCCUGGCCACCGCUUUCCCUCACCGCCCACCCAUCCCCACUGCUAUUCGGCAGCUGCUUGCAAACUCUCAUGAGAGCUGCCAUGCAUGGGAUUAGCGACAGGGAUCACUUGCCCUGAAUCUGAUGUGCUCUGCAGUGGGGCCUCCAGUUUAGCAGAGAAGCAUCCGUUGUUAACCAGAUAGGAGUCAUCAUUUGAAAAGGAACCCCCUUUCCAGCAGAUUUCAUCCUGUCGACCACCAGGAUAUCAUAAGUCCUAGGAAUCUUUGAAUGAGUCAGGCCGGUUGAGAUGGAUGUUGUUGGAAAUGGAGAACCAGGUCCCUGACUGGAAGCGUUCACAAGCUAUAUCUGCAGGAGGAGACUGUAACAGUUCAUAUACCCAGAGCAGCGAGACCUUUGCCAUAAUGGAUGCUGCUGAGGACACCUGGAUAGCCAGAGAGGUCUCAUGCCCCUUCUUUAAAUUAGAUUCAAUCUUUUUCUCAGUCUAGUCCCUGAGAGGGCUAUUGUCACCACAGGGUAGGAUGUAAAGAAAAAAGAAUGUCCAGAAAGUAAAGCAUCUGUGGGAAGUACCUGGAACAUCUCAGAUGCUGUUUGCGUGAGACCAUACAGCUUAUUGACCAGCUGAAUGGGUUUCCUGUGCACUGCUGGCACUUGCCAUUCUUGGAGAACUGUCUCUGCAAAGGAGUGGGAAUGGGAAAAGCAACUCCUUAAGUUUUGAAGUUGGAAAAACCAAAGUUUCCCUGGGAGGGAGUGGAUUGUUAAACUUGUGAUUGUUGCUGCGGGCCUAGAUUGUUUAAGGCCUUAUGGAAAAGGUAUGAGAAGUCCUCAGGUAUUAACAGCCUUUUAGAAUUGGCUGAAUACUCUAAAUUCUGGUCAUCAGACCAUUCACCCCCUUCCUUUGAGUCAGCAACUAAGUCAGGGUUGUCUGGGACCUCCACUAGGCUUUCAACAUUAUCAUUGGGUCCUGGGUUGGAUGGAGUGAGGUCAGGUCCCAUGAGGUGGAGGUUCUGGUAAAUCAUAGUCUGAAAUACCAGAGGAAUCGGAUGGGGAGCCCUGUUCCCUGUGGUGUUUCCUAGUUUUUUUUUACAGCUCUUUGACUUUAGAUUGUUUUUACAUCUAUGUCUUUUCUUUGACUUCUUAGGUGAAGGUUCUGAUGAGGAAGAUGAAGAGUCUCUGUUCUUAAACCCCUUUUUGUCAGACUUGAUGUGUUUGUGCUGUUGCAAAGACUUAUCAAGCACAUUUUGGAACCAUGCCUACCAGCUAGCCAGCAUUUUAACAGAAUCUGCUCACCUGUCCACCAUGCCACAACAUGUUGUACUCGCUCAGAUCAGCAUGAACCAAACUGCACUCUUUAUACAACUUUUGCAUCAUCUAGAAGAAAGCAGCAAGUGAUUAUUUGGAGCAUUUUUUAUUCAAUUAAAACAUUAAAAAUCAGCACUAGAUGAGAAGUUAAAUACAAAAAAGCUUAAUGCAGAACAUAUGAAAGCAUCUUUGUAGAUUUAUCACAUCCAAGUUUUAACAGAUACAGUGCUAGAAGUGUUCACUCAAGUUAACUUAUCUGAGUAGUCAGCUAGUACAACUGCAUAUGACUGAUAGGCAUGUUUAGGUAACUCCCUGGUUUUCCUGCUUCUACUGAAACUAGUUAGUGCAAUUUUUAUAUUACACUAAGAAAGCAGUCCUAAAAGUUUACAGCCUAUCUUCCAGAUAUUGUAGGACUAUAGGAAAUAACUUCAAGAAAAUUACUGGUUGCACAGAACCUCUGCCUUCAUGUAUAGUGACCACUUUUUCUGUUAUAUUUCACAUUCUAGCUACUUCUGCUAAAGUUUGUCUCCAGUAUAAGAAUUCCGAUUGUGACCACCACAAACUAUGAAAAUAAAGAAUGUAUUAUCAGUUA